rnacentral:rRNA from 1 species
UACGGAGGGUGCAAGCGUUAUCCGGAUUCACUGGGUUUAAAGGGUGUGUAGGCGGACUUUUAAGUCCGUGGUGAAAUCUCCAGGCUCAACCUGGAAACUGCCAUGGAUACUAUUGGUCUUGAAUAUCGUUGAGGUAGGCGGAAUACAUCAUGUAGCGGUGAAAUGCUUAGAUAUGAUGUAGAACACCGAUUGCGAAGGCAGCUUACUAAACGAUCAUUGACGCUGAGGCACGAAAGCGUGGGGAGCAAACAGG